rnacentral:tRNA from 1 species
GAGGGUAUAGCUCAGUGGUAGAGUACAUGAUUAGUGUGCCACGAGGUCCUAGGUUCAAUCCCCAGUACCUCCA